UGCCAGAUUCUCAGGAACCAACACCAGAUAUGGAAAAGAGACAGAAUUUGGAAAUGGAAGAUAUAAAGGGGAGAUUAAUUCCCUGAUUUUCAACUUUCUUCCCCAAAGACUUUGAGAAAUAUGCAAUUUCCUCUGAAGCAGUACAUUGCAUCAUUUUUUAUGGCAUGAUAUUCUAUUACAUUCACAGACCAUGAUUUAUCUACCCCAUAGAACUGCAGCAAAUGAGGAAGAAUCCGUGAGCAGAGAGAAGCUAUACAAACUCCUGCCAAGUGGAAUGGCACUAGCAAUGAUCAGAAGGAACUAUGAGAAGAGUGGAAGUGACCAGUCUGGACUCCAGGCCAAUAGAAAAGCA